GACCGCAUAACGCAGUGGAUUAGCGUGUUUGACUUUGAAUCAGAAGGUUGUGGGUUCAACUUCCACUGUGGUCG